rnacentral:lncRNA from 1 species
GGAUUAUCGGAUUACUGAAAUGAGACAUAAUGUUGAGUUUGGUAUUCCUCUUAAUGCAUUUACUAUCAUCUAAUUUAAGAUAGCCUGAAAACGAUGAACAUGAACUAUUUUGUUCUAACAAAUACUAUAGGAAGCGAAAACGUUUUAGCAUGUCCUUUAAUAUCAGUUGAAGAAAACUAACAGUGAACUUUUAGAUAAACUAUUAUUUUAGUAAAACUACUGUUAUAAAAUGCUAUAAUGAUAGGCUUACAUAAUCAGUUAAGGUUAUUUCGAGCUGCAGAGGUAAUAAUAAUUGUUGAACCAAAUUUUACGAAGUAAAACUGAACCAUGUCAUGAAAGUCAAUUCACGUUUGCAAGAAUACACACGCAUACACUAAAAGAGAAUAUCUCUUAACGUAAAUAUGUUUACCUAUAUCCACUUCUGUAAAUGUUUGAAUGUGAUAAUAUGUAAAAAAAAAAAAAUGAAAAAAAGUAAUACCUACAAAUUGAAGUUAACUGCAACUGAAAUAUCACAGAUACAGACUGAUAUUUAUUAAGCGAGUGAUGAUUAUAUGUGCAUAAUGUCUUCUCGUGAAGAGGCGGAAUUCAUAAAUAAAAUCGUUUUUGUUUUGAAUAACACAGUAAAUAUAUAGCAAUUAGCGAGGGAGGAAAAUUAGACGUGGAAAUGCAUUUUGCACAAUUAUCAUGAUAGGGUGCCAAAUUAAGGUGAUCAAAGUAGAAUAUCAACAGAUUUUUAUUAUUAUCAUUGUGCAAGUUGGGGUUCCACUAGGACAUAAAGAAAAGUAUAAUCACAAAAAUACUUAACUCCGAGGAAAAUUCAAAACGUAAAGUCCCUAAUCAAAUAGCAAAAUCAAAAGUCUCAAACACA